rnacentral:lncRNA from 1 species
AUGGGCAGGGGAGCUCAGACCAGCAGCUCCUGGGGACUGAGUCUGCAUCAGCACAUCGGGGUCAGCCAGUCCAGGUUCCUCAGAACUCACCUGGGGGUCGAGAGACUUUUACCAGUAAAUAUCGGUUUAUUCCUGAAACCAGAAGCCCUAAACAUACCUUUGUUUAUAAGUGCACUGGUGUACCAAGCCUCAGAACCACUGCUUUCUCCAGCUCAUAGGAUGCUUUUCCAGACUGUGGAUACGUGUAUGUGUACUGCUGUGUUGAUAAGUAAAUGCCAACGAUGGAGUUCGUUGCUUUUAUACAUCCCAAAGAGAAGUUCUCCACCGUUCACUGUCUGUUUUCUGACCGAAAAGGCGUGUGUUUGUGAACAGUGUUCACGCCAGCUCUGCCAUCCCACCCUCACAUCAGCUCACACCAAUGCCAGGAUGGGAGGAGUUGCCUGCGUACCUUCCCCAAAACACCCUGGGCCACAGUGGCAUCGUCAGGGAGCAGUUCAAACCUGUGUCCUUUGGGCUUUGUGUAAAGCAAAUGCAGAACAAGAAAAAUCGAGAUGUUAA